AUUCUUCCUCUGCAUCUGUCUGCAUAAAACAAGCAGCCAUUUCUCAGUCAGAAAAAUGCUUAUCGAUUAGCCAAUAUUAAUUUUAAAAGACCUUUGUUAUCUUAGAGUCUUCUUGGCUCUGAGUUUUAAGUAAUUCAAGUUCUUAGUGUUCUUCCUUCUUGUCCUAAAUAUUCAUAGCACUCAAAAGAACUGAACUUUUUGAAUUCUUGCUUUUUAACUUCAGCUCAGGUCCUGGAACCUGAACGUCAAAACUACUGCUUCAGCCAGAUCACUGGUUUCAGCUUACAGUAUUAUAGUAUUUUCCUUCUUCAUUACUCACACUCACCUUCAGCAGUGAUCCUGUAUACUAGGCAAGAAUAUAGAUUUCAAAAGCAUCUAUAACAUUUGUAAGUCUUUUAAUUCUAAGCCAUCCUAUUGAAACAAAUAAAAAAUUUACUCGAAACAAAACCAUUUCUCCAAGAGUACGUAAAUGCUAUAUACUCCCAAAUGAGAAAAUCAAUGUUACUCUUCAGAAAAAAAUGAUUGCUUCUCAACUAUUUCAUUUCACUGUGCUUGGAGUUUCAAUUCCAAUGAUCAGUUCUGUCAUUUCUCACAGGCAAACACAUUUUUACAAUACGUAGUUUCAAACACAAAAAUAAAUAAGCAGCAAUGCCCAUUCCGUUAUUUCCAAACAGAGGGAUGCAUUAAAUAUUUCCUCUGAUCCAGAGCAAUACAGUUCUACAGCUUUUUCUUUGCUUUUGUUUUUAACCAGUGAAGUAGAACACACAGGUCUGAAACCUAAAGGAGGAUCUCUUGUGCUCAUUCAAUUCAAUUGUCUUUUACCCUGUUAACAGAGAAUGAUGUUCAUUACGUCUGAUACUUUCAGAAAAUGAAGAGACAGGUUAGUCUCUGCUCCUACGGUCAUAAACACCUAUGGCCAAUUGAAACAUACAGCCUACAAAUCACCCACCAGUCCAUGAUCAGACAAUGGACCUACUGAUCUGAUCCACACUUGUAGUUCACAAGCUAUAAUAAUAAUAAUUGAACAUCAUGGAUCUUCACCUGUGAGUGAACACCUCUCUUCAGUUUAAGAGAAUUUUUCAUACCAGGAAAUAGAUACUGAAUUUGAAUGAGGUAAUCAAUACAGAAGAAUGGGUAACUAGUCAUAUUAUCUGUACCAACAAAAAGCUGCUUGAAUCAAACCACUGCAAGUGCAGAAAUAACUUAAUCAUGGCAAAUGGUUCAGUACAAAAUUUGCUCCAAAACUAGACAUCAGAUUGACAGAUUCUCUCUCUGAAACUUUGCACUAAAGUAAAUAAUGAGAAUUUAGCCAGAAUCAAACUUCUGGAAAAAAGAUUAGAAAAUAAUAUAAUAUACAAUGUGAAAUUAUAUAUUACUGCCUUCAACCACAACACAUCUCCAAGAAGAAAAUGUUGCAAUGUCUGUUCUAGGCCAAGGAAGGACUGGUUGGUUUUGGAAAAGUUGGAAACAUCUCUGUAUCUCCCUGAUGCACCUGUCAUAUAUUCUGAAGAGGCUGCAGCUUGGAAAAAGUGUUCACUGGUCUUAGCUUCUCAGGCAUAAAUCAGAACAACUCUCUAUUUUGAAAUAGAUAGCAAAAAGCUAACACCAGAUUUUGCUUCUAUUGCAAAUUAGGUCACAGUUUCUAUUUACUAUGAUCAAAAUCAGGAUUUAUACACUGAAAUAAAUGAACAGAAACAUAAAUAGCUUCAAUAAACUACUCAGCAGGGAUGUCUUACGUAAGACAUUAAUUGCCAUAGCAAGCAGGCCCUUUAAAGAAUAUGUUCAAAAUAAAAAUUAGAAUUCAUUAACGCUAAUAACCAUCCUUCCUAGGCAGUUUCACUAACUUUCUGUUUUCUAUUACCUGGACUUUUACUGAACUAAGCAACCUAGAUUUAAAAAACAAACAAACAAACAAAGGGGCAGCUAUUCUGGUUCCAGAAGCAUUUACUGUGGAAAUAAAUACCCUUGUUCCCAGAAAGCGUGCUGUAUGUACAUGAAGUUAGUGCUAGGCCCAGUGCUUGGAUCACUCCACAAGCCUUAGUGAGAAAGGCUGAGGAAACCACUGAGCCUGACUGUGCUCUGGCAGACACAGGGAAGCACGAUGUGCUUGCCUUGGCCGUACAAAGGCAGGAGAACUCCUCUCUGUGCUCUACUGCGUGGCUUUUCACUGCUAAGUAUCUAGACCAAGACAUAAUUGCAUAUUUUGUACAGCUCAGUGUCUCUACAGCACUCUGUAUAUGUCUGCAUACAUCGUAUAAUUACCAUAAAGCAGGUAAUUGCUAACUUCACACCAAUGUGUUAGCAGGUCCUCAGAAAGAAAUAGUAUCACACAGAGCAGAUGUCAGAUCACACUUACACACAGAUGUCGAAUGUGUCUGUUUACCUUGAAUACAAACAUGAACCACAACCCUGAGUUUGCAUGACUGACAGCUGUUAAAACAGCUGCUGUGCUUCUUUUUCGUGCAUAAAAAAGACAGCCUGACAAUGUUUACUGUAGAUAUCUCCAGGGCAGUGAUUUUUCAAGUUUGAAGGGUCAAUCACUGAUCCACAUCAGCAGGUUGUUUUCUGAUUUUCCUUAUUCCCUGACACCCACUGAAACACGCCAAUAUCAGCGGCUGCUGGGUGUGAGACCUUCUGUUCAACUGUUUUCUUGUACAGAGCUUCAGUUUGCAAAGCUUAUGUAUUUUACACACACAGCUAAGAACAGGGUCCUACUUCUAAAUUACAAAAGACGUCUUUUCUGAAAUUUGUGUAUUUCAUAGUAGUUUCUUAGAAUGCUGUAUUUUUGGCCUAGAAUAAUUACACUUUCACUAUAAGUUUUAUUUUUGGCUGCAGGAUAAGAAGAAUGUGUAUUCAUCCACAAGCCAGCUCAGGAUCUGAGUUAGCACAGCUAUAUGCUGCUCUUAAAAUUCCAAAACUCCUUUACCUAAACCCUUUCAGGACAGUAGCAUUGUGGUGCUGUCAGCAGCGGUGUAACAUUGUCAAGAAAAAGCAGCUGUGGUAUUCAGUAUUUCCAUUAUUACCUUUUUUUAAAGCAAAAGUAAAGGCACCAUGGAAAGCCUGACCUGUAGUAACCAUUACAAUCGCAUUUUGUCUAUUACUUUCUCCUUAUAAAAUAGUAUAUAAUGCUUCUUGCUCAGCAUACUUCACAUACACAGAAAGCCACUCCUAAGAGGACUCCUGUUUCUGCCUCCAAAUUCCCUUAACUCUCAUUGUGACAAAGCAUGUGGUUCUUUCCCCAGCUUUACUGGCACCAAUGUGAAUUAUUAGGCACAGGGAUCUAAAGAAAAUGUUUAACAUUGCAACAGACUUAUUAAAAUCAAGGCUCUAUUAAAACUCAGUUUGAGAUGUUUGUAUUUGUAAUGUCUCAAUAACCUGAGGAUCACACUAACUUUACUCUAGAGAUGUCUAAAUUAUUAAUUUAAAACAAACUGACAAAUUUAUUUUUUUUUAAUUUCUCUAAAUUGCAAAGAAAUUUUAAUUCUUUUGAUAAUUAUUUGCUGAAUGUCUAUGAAUUGUUCCUUCUCCUGGGUUUUACAUAUUGGACUAAUAACUAUAUGGUGUUUGUGAUAAACCCUGUAUUUUUUUUACUGGGAUAUAAAUGCCUUCAGUGAUAGCCAUUUUUAGUCAUAUAUAUUUUUGACUACAAAUUAACAAAUACAGCUGUAUGAACAACCACCAUGCUAAAAAGUUCAAUUGAAGAAAAAAAAUAGUUUUAACAAAAAUAUAUAUGAAUAACUUCUAAAAAGGAGUACUCGUGAAUCAUACAAAGAGAUUUUAGAAGUUCCUGGGAGUUUUUGUAACUGCUGUUUCCAGUACUUCACACACUACGCUUAGAAUUCAAGAUCCAGCAUUCGGGUCAGAGUGUCCGCGGUGUGAAGCGGCACAGCUCUGCUGCUGGCACGACUUCCCUUCGCCGCAAUAAUUCCGACCAGACAGGGCUGUAGUCAUUGGUUUCCAAGUGUCAGUUCUGCAAUCUCUUGCAAGAAUAUGGAAGGAUAUAAAUCAGUGUCUCUUCUCACCUGCAUUUCUUUCCUAGUAAUUCUCCCAUUCUAGUCUUCUUACCCUGGUCCUCAACUUGAAUUCCUCAACAUCUAACUGGUUUGUAUUGACUUUCACAUCCCUGGAUAAUCUUUGUGGUCCAACUGCUUAUAAAUUGAGAAUAUAUGAGCCAGAAGCUAUUGAACAAGGGGACACAGAACUGUCCAUUAUCCUCUCAAUCACAAGCACUUUUCAAGGUAAAUCUGUACUUAAAACAUCCCUUCAUUGACUGAUGGUGCUUGUUUAUUGUACAGUAGUAGUAAAGUCUCUAAUAAUGUGGUGUUUCAUUGUCAGCAAAGAAUCUUCCGAAUUAUCACUCAGAAGUAGUUUUAAAGCAAGUGACACACUGUCAUCAGUCUGCCUUCAAGAUGACAGGCCUGGUCAAAGAGCAGCCUUAACCAACACCAAGCACCCAGGCACAGGCAGUUCCCAGAAUUAGGAACAGUCAGGCCUGGGCAUGUACUUACUGCAACUACAAGGAACCAUCAGUUCCAUGUGAAAUGGGGGCACUGCUGGAAACAGAUGUUCUAAAGCCUAAACAUACGACUGAACUGUAAAUUUUCUUUAGCAAGUUCAAGAAUUAAAAUGACACCUUUAUCCUUUUCUGCAUGAACCACUUCAAAAAAAAAAAAAAAAAAAAAAGCAAAAACCCCACCACCAACUUUAUGUUUUGGACUGUUUUGCCCAUACUGUUCUUCUGUCUUCCCUUGUUUCUUUUACAUUUAUCUCCUCUCUGUCUCCCUCACUGUCAAAAUUUUCUAAUUCCCUCCAUCACCACACUGAAGGGGCUGCUUCCCCACUCUGUCCUGUGCAGGCUCUUCGGCUGUUGUGCUUUGUCUCUCAGCUGUUCUCAUGCAAUUAAAGAAACAUGAUUUCUACCACCACUGAACAGUGUAGUACAAGCCUAUUUUAAGUACUGUUGUUCACUGUUUUACCAUGUUGCAUUUACUAUGUUAGCUAUUUUAAUAGUUUCAGAAGUCAGUUUUGUUCAGCUGUUCUAAGAAGCAGCACAGCAGAAGAGCCUUGAUAUGACAGGCUAAGACCUACACUAGAAGUCUCUUACAAACAGUUGACCAUCAGCACACCAAGGGUACCAAAACCACCUUAUGGCCUUGCUUCCUGCACAUUUAAUAGCUGCCGGAUACCCGCGGUGGCUACCACAAGUAGUAGCAGAUGCUCAGGUGCGAUAGUGAUGUUCUUGCUGGUGAGUCCCGGGGGUUACACCAACAUAGUGUGUGUUGCAGUACAGAUGGGAGUAGUAACGACAGCCUUGAUCUUGGACAGAUAGUGACUGAAGGCAGAAAUGGAAGGAUGUGACACUUUGGAAGCAACACGCUCUGGCGGCAGAAUCAGGGGAGGAUAAGCAAUUUAUAAAGUUAUGCUGUUCAAUUACUACCACUUAGAAAGGUAAAGUAAUUCUCAACAGAAUCUAUAGUUAUUUGGGCAACAUUUUGUAAUGAAAUUAUUCUUACUAAAGAGCAAUUCUUCCAUUAAAUUCAUGAGAACACAUUAUAGGAUGGCUACCCUUUUUUUUUCCCCACUGGUUGAAUAUGCAAUUUGUGCUCCUCAGUGGAUGAUAUCAUAACUCUGAAGUGUCCAGCUCCUGGGGACCAGGACAAAAUACAGUUACCCUGGGAAGCACUCACUGAAGACAGAAGGAGGGUACGAAACAUACCUAAUCACGGAUUCUAGUUGCUCAAGUGCCCUCUGUCUUUUCAGGCCAAGCCAAACACCCUGCUGUGAGAAAUUAUUGCUCAGUAGUAGUAUCAGAGGACUAAGGAAAUGGACAGAUCAUGCUCUGAUUUUCCACUCCAUCCUUCUAUUUAACCAUAUGUAUCAGUUUCUGUAUUUGUAGAACAGUACUGCAAAAUAAACGGUUCUAAAGCACUCAAAGAUACUUGCAAGAAUGAAUAUGCUAAUGUUAGUUACAGUAGACAUAUGGAGUGGAUUGCUGAAAGGUUGGGGGAUCUGAAUCACAGAAAUCUUACCAUCACUAUGUCUAUUUAAAAUGAAACUGAAGCUUGGGAGGGAAAAUUCUUUCUGAUCAUUUCAUUGCAAUAUUUGAGGAUAUUUCCUUGCCAUUUACUACUGCUUUUAAUUAUGAAGCUACACAUGAUGUUCUUCAUAGUGUCUGCAAAAAAUGGAGCAUGGAUUUUUAAUGUCAGGUACAGCCGUGCCUGUAGUGUGUUGUUAUCGCAGAAGAUGUGCCAGAAGAGAGUUCCGGCACCCUCCCAGAAGAUGAAGAAGAAAAGCUCCUGCUCACGGGUGAAUGACACAAACACUGAGGACAAACUUAAAAACCUCCUGGAGGCAAACAGUGGUUACCACGUAAUUAUGUGACAAAUAAGCCACAGCCCAUACAGUGAGCCAGCCUGAUGGAUGGGAUUUUCAGAUAUUUUUGUCUUCAUUAUUUAUAAUUUACUCAAGCAUGAUGCCAUGAGUGCUCAGUAUGAAAGUCCCUCAGCGAAGGAAGCCAGGGCAGAACUCAGUUGCAGCAUGUGCAGCCUGGCAAGGAAGUACAGAACCUCAUCUGCAUUUCACCACUCACGUUUCCAGCUCACUGUGAGAUCCAGGUGCAGAGGACAGGACCACCUUGUUGCUCUGUUUAUUUCUGAGGUGUUAGGGGGACUCAUUGGCUGUACAGUCAAAUCACAUAACUGACUAUUCACAGAAUCACAGACAAUCACAGAAUGUCAGGGAUUGGAAGGGACCUCGAAAGCUCAUCCAGUCCAACCCCCUGCUGGAGCAGGAACACCCAGAUGAGGUUACACAGGAAGGUGUCCAGGCAGGUUUUGAAUGUCUCCAGAGAAGGAGACUCCACAAACCCCCUGGGCAGCCUGUUCCAGUGUCUGUCACCCUCACUGAGAAGAAGUUUCUUCUCAAAUUUAAGUGGAACCUUUUGUGUUCCAGUUUGAACCCAUUACCCCUUGUCCUAUCAUUGGUUGUCACCGAGAAGAGCCUGGCUCCAUCCUCAUGACAUUCACGCUUUACAUAUCUGUAAACAUUAAUGAGGUCACCCCUCAGUCUCCAUGGGUAAAACCACAUUCUGUAACUUAAGUGGAGCAUAAUAGGGUCCUUUUGAGAAAAUAAAUAUAAAAGGUAGUCAGAUAAUAAAGAUUCAACCUGGAGGGAUUUUUCAGUUGCUCCUAUCACUCCCAAAAAUACAUCCAUUUUGUCAUUUUUGCUUACGUUACUUUUCAGAGUUAGAUAAUUUGUGCAUACGUCCUUGACAAGCAUGUUCUAGAUCAUGUAAUGUUAUUUCCACUGUCAAGAUUUGCCUAGAAACACUUUCACCUAUGCCCAUAUACUUUGCCACUUGGAAAGAUAUAAUAUCUUAACCCUCUUGUUUGCUAAGUUAAUAAAUCCAGGACAACAGGGCAACAGCAGAGAAAGAAAAGAGGACACUUUAGAAGAAGGGCUUUCACAAGAACAGGGUUUGGAAUUUGACAUAGCUGUGUAUUUCGUAUUUGUGAAAUGAGACAGUAAAUAUAUCAAGUAAAAAAGAUGUUGCUUCAGAUAAUGUAUAAAUAAACUAUGAGUAUACAUAUGUAUGUAUGUAAAAUGUUUUAAAAUGCAUUGUUUCAUUCGUAUGACAUGCAGUUAAAGAUCAGAAAUGAAAGCUUUCAUCAACAAAUCUGGGUCAGUGCUGACUGUCAUAUUCCUUAAAUUCUUUCAAAUGAAUAAACAAACUUCAUUGUCAAAGCGCUAAUAUACCAGUGGUUCUCAGUUUACAGCAAAAAUAAUGUUCUAGCUUUCUAUAAAAGAGCCACUGAACAGCAGACAGAGGUACUGUAGCAGGAAAACAAAGACAGGUACAGGAUGGUUCCUCCUACAUAGUCUACUAAGAGCAGCUGCAAUAAGAGAGCUCAUUAGACAAA